rnacentral:misc_RNA from 1 species
GCGAGCUGAUAACGUCCACCACGCCGUGCCAGCACAGAGAAGUCGUGGACGAGGCGGGACGAGGGCACGAUCAUGCCCACAACGGCAACCUCGACUAAUAAUUCCGCACAGCUCUCUACGGACCCCCUUGCUGAGGACACACAGCUGCACACAAACCAUCGACAACCGACGCGGAAGAGAAAGAACACGGCUGCUCGCGCACAUACUCCAGCGGCGCAAGACGCUCGGAACCCCACGCCGCGAGUCACACUCGACAGGCCUGCACCGCCUUUUGCCGUCUCCACUACGCAAAGCCAGAGAGACGCUUCCCCCCCGCGCAUGCCGCGAGCAUUACUUGGCGCUCGAGCUCGUGGCAUUGACACACGCAGCGUACGUGUGUGCGUGUGUGUGCUUCUCCAGUUGUGAUCUUGCUCCAUUGACCUGGUUGGCGGGAGUGGACAAGAGGGGUGAAGGUGCAGUGUGGCGAUCACGUCACGUACACCGACAACUUGGGAGAGCAGAAAACGAAGCUACAGGGCCGUAGAAGAACCAACAAAUGCCGCCUUCAACUGCCGCCCCCUAUGCGCUUCGGACGGACAAGCUAAAGCCACUGGAGGGCUGUGUGGCUGGUUGCUCUGUCUCACCCGCGGAAGCGGCAUCGCAGGUCGCAUCCUCACUGCAACCGGUGGUUCUCGCCAUCUGCGGAAGCUUCAACCCUAUCCACAACGCGCAUCUGAAGCUCUACGACGCCGCAAAGAGAUCCAUAGAUGGUGCUCAUGGCCGUGUUGUUCUCGGCGGAUUUCUCUCCCCAGUCGGCGACGCCUACAGAAAACCAGGGUUGCGUAGCGCGGCUGAUCGUUUGCAGAUCAUGAGGAAGGCCCUUUGCCACCACCCCGACCUCAAUGUCGACACGUGGGAGUGCCAGCAGCCCGUGUACACGCGCACCUUCUUCGUACUACAAGCGCUGGAGGAGCAUGUCAACGCGUGGUACGCCGAAUCUGAGCCGGCGGCCAUGGAGUGGCUGACCUCGCAUGACCGCCGCGUACGAGUUGUUUUCGUGUGUGGCGCCGACCUCUUCUCUUCGUUUUGGAUCCCCGGCUGCUGGCAGCUACGUCUGCUGCGGCAACUCCUCGAUUCAUUCCAUCUGGUUGUCGUCCACCGCGAGGGUGCUCGAGGCUGCGUCAGAGGCGCCGAUGACUUCGCACAUAUCUGCCAGACGGCGCCGCUGCUGUCGGAGACGGCGGUGGACGGAGAGAAGAUUGAGAUCGACAUGUCCAGAUACACGUUUACGUUCGCGACCUUCUCCGCGCCGGACGACACGUCAUCUACAGCCGUGCGGGCUGCGGCGAUGGAGCUUGCGAAGACGCCGCUGGGCGAUGCGGUGACGCGCGCAGCUCUGCAGUCGCGUCUCCGCGCCAUGCUGCCCGAGGCUGCCGUGCAGUCGGUGGUGGAGCUCUACGGAGAGGUGCUGACGUCCUGAGAUGACACACCCUGAGGAAAGGAGGCCGGGGCGGCAGAGAGCGGAGUGUGGAGGCCUCCCUGUAGCAGGCGUCGCGGCAGCGCAGUGCAGCACUCGCGGACAUGCCUCUUCCCCAGUGCAACCAAUCACCCUUUGUGUCUAUAGUCUGGUGCAUGCGUGUGUCUAGCCCGUCUUGUACUGCCUCUUGAGAGAACGCAUUAUAUCGCCAGCGUGGUGCGAUACGGUGCGCAGCAAGUGACUCAUGGCCGCCUUGGCGGCGCGGCGAGUGCGCGAUCGCCCGCCCUGCUCCUCGUCUCUGUCGGUGGUUUC